CUAUGGGGCACCCCUCUGGGGCUCUGUGCUAUCGGGGCAGGGGUUAUGAGGCCUGUGUAUGGGGCUCAGAGCUAUGGGGCACCUAUGGGGCUCUGUGCUAUGGGCAGGGGGUUAUGAGGUAGUGCUUUGGGGCUCAGGCUUAUGGGGCACGCUAUGGGGCCAUCUGUUGCUAUGGGCCACUAUGGGGUCGAGCUAUGGGCUCGUGCUAUGGGGCACGCCUAUAGGGGCUCUGUUCCUUUGUCUGCUAUUGGGGCCGUAUGGGGCUCUGUGUUAUGGGAGACACUAUGGGGCUCAGAGCUAUGGGGCAGGGGGUUAUGGGGCUCUGUGCUAUGGGGCAGGGGGUUAUGGGGCACAGGGCUAUAGGGUGAUGUGCUAUGGGGCUCUAUGCUAUGGGGUGUGCUAUGGGGCACAGAGCUAUGCUAUGGGGUGUGCUAUGGGGCUCUAUGCUAUGGGGUGCUACGCUAUGGGGCGCUGCUGUGGGGCUGGCCCCAUCCCCGCCGCCGUCAUCAAUGGGGCUGAGCAGCUCCGGCCCCACAAGUGGCGCCAUGUGGGGCUGACGGGACCUGUGGGGCACAGAGAGAGAUUGACCCCAUAGAGCCUGACCCAUAGAGACACAUAGGGACCUAUAGGGACCCAUAGAGACCCCAUAGAGCCCUGACCCACAGAUCCCACCCCAUAGAGACCCCAUAGUAACCCACAGAGACCCAUAGAGACCCCAUAGACCCCAUAGAGACCAAUAGAACCCCAUAGACCCCAUAGAGACCCAUAGAGACCCCAUAGAGACCCAUAGAGACCCAUAGAGACCCAUAGAGACCCCAUAGAGACCCCAUAUCAUCCUAUAUAACCCAAUAUCCCCCCAUAUCCCCCCAUAGAACCCCAUAGAGGCCCCAUAGAGACCCCAUAGACCCCAUAUAACCCCCAUAAACCCCAUAGACCCCAUAUAAACCCCAUAGAGCCCCAUAGAACCCCAUAUAAACCCCAUAGACACCAUAGAACCCCAUAUCACCCCAUAUCACCCAUAGACACCCCAUAGAGACCCCAUAUACCCCAUAUAACCACAUAGAGACCCAUAGGGACCCCAUAGAGACCCAUAGAGACCCCAUAGAGACCAAUAGAACCCCAUAGACCCCAUAGAGACCCAUAGAGACCCCAUAGAGACCCCAUAGAGACCCCAUAGAGCGCUGACCCACAGAUCCCACCCCAUAGAGACC
rnacentral:lncRNA from 1 species